rnacentral:rRNA from 1 species
AACGAACGCUGGCGGCAUGCCUAACACAUGCAAGUCGAACGAGACCUUCGGGUCUAGUGGCGCACGGGUGCGUAACGCGUGGGAACCUUCCCAUAGGUUCGGAAUAACUCCCCGAAAGGGGUGCUAAUACCGGAUAAUGUCUUCGGACCAAAGAUUUAUCGCCUUUGGAUGGGCCCGCGUUGGAUUAGCUAGUUGGUAGGGUAAAAGCCUACCAAGGCGACGAUCCAUAGCUGGUCUGAGAGGAUGAUCAGCCACACUGGGACUGAGACACGGCCCAGACUCCUACGGGAGGCAGCAGUGGGGAAUAUUGGAUAAUGGGCGAAAGCCUGAUCCAGCAAGGCCGCGUGAGUGAUGAAGGCCUUAGGGUUGUAAAGCUCUUUUACCCGGGAUGAUAAUGACAGUACCGGGAGAAUAAGCGCCGGCUAACUCCGUG